UGACCUCCAUUACAAGAUAUGA
rnacentral:miRNA from 1 species